UCGCUCUAAGGGCAAACUGGCUGUAAAGUCAGGGCGCAAAAUGACAGUGCCUGAUGGCAGUGGUCGCUGAGUUUAAGUCAUUCAGCUGUGUUGAUUUUUCACAAUAAGUCGCGUUAACGCUCAAUGGAAACAUCAACAGUCCAAUCAGGCAGGCUGCAUUGCUGAG
rnacentral:ncRNA from 1 species